rnacentral:rRNA from 1 species
AUUGAACGCUGGCGGCAGGCCUAACACAUGCAAGUCGAGAGAGCGGCGUACGGGUGAGUAAUGUCUGGGAAACUGCCUGAUGGAGGGGGAUAACUACUGGAAACGGUAGCUAAUACAGCAUACCAUACACAGUGCCCAGAUGGGAUUAGCUAGUAGGUGGGGGAAUGGCUCACCUAGGCGACGAUCCCUAGCUGGUCUUGGAGGAUGACCAGCCACACUGGAACUGAGACACGGUCCAGACUCCGACGGAAGGCAGCAGUGGGGAAUAUGGCACAAUGGGCGCAAGCCUGAUGCAGCCAUGCCGCGUGUGUGAAGAAGGCCUUCGGGUUGUAAAGCACUUUCAGCGAGGAGGCGUUACUCGCAGAAGAAGCACCGGCGAACUCCGUGCCAGCAGCCGCGGUAAUUC